CAGCACAUGCUCUGAUACUACUUCUAAGCACAGAAAGAAGAUUUCAUCUCCCAUCCCAGUGAAGGUACAUCACCAGUCGAUAGAGAAUUUUGAAAGAGGUUGAUCAAAAGCAGCUUCUGCACGGAAAUCAGCUAAUACAAUUAAGAAGCUUCAGGAUAGAAGCCAUGUCUGCCCUCUACUUGGUUUCAGACAUCUCACAUUUUUCCAUGAUUUGUCAAAGGAAAGCAAUCCUUCUUUUGCUGCCCAGACCACUUCAUAAAGAAGAUACAGAUCUUCCCCUUGUCUGUUAUUCAGCACAUCUUCAACAGCUGAAGGAGGCCUUGGUGCCACGUAAGCAAAGAGCAGGAAAGCUCAUGACCAUUGUUUGGAUUUGGGCGUAUCCCAAACAACUGCAGCCACUCGAACCAAGGGAAGAGGACCCCUACCAGGUGGAUUCCCAAAGGAAAUGUGGUGGAGUUCCCAGGCCACCACAAAGAAGAGGUCUGCUGCUCCUGUUGCCCCUAAAUGUGUACUCAAGACACUUGUCUUCUUUUCUGUUCAUGUCGUGUUUCACUUGA
rnacentral:lncRNA from 1 species